AGAGUUUGAUCCUGGCUCAGGAUGAACGCUAGCUACAGGCUUAACACAUGCAAGUCGAGGGGAAACGACAUCGAAAGCUUGCUUUUGAUGGGCGUCGACCGGCGUACGGGUGAGUAACGCGUAUCCAACCUGCCCACCACUUGGGGAUAACCUUGCGAAAGUAAGACUAAUACCCAAUGAUAUCUCUAGAAGACAUCUGAAAGAGAUUAAAGAUUUAUCGGUGAUGGAUGGGGAUGCGUCUGAUUAGCUUGUUGGCGGGGUAACGGCCCACCAAGGCAACGAUCAGUAGGGGUUCUGAGAGGAAGGUCCCCCACAUUGGAACUGAGACACGGUCCAAACUCCUACGUAGGCAGCA
rnacentral:rRNA from 1 species